rnacentral:rRNA from 1 species
GUUGGCGAUAUACUGUCAGCGGCCAAGCGAAAGUAUUAAGUGAUGCACCUGGGGAGUACGCCGGCAACGGUGAAACUCAAAGGAAUUGACGGGGGCCCGCACAAGCGGUGGAGCAUGUGGUUUAAUUCGAUGAUACGCGAGGAACCUUACCAGGGCUUAAAUGUAGUAUGACCGGCUUAGAAAUAGGCCUUCUCUUCGGAGCAGAUUACAAGGUGCUGCAUGGUUGUCGUCAGCUCGUGCCGUGAGGUGUUAGGUUAAGUCCUGCAACGAGCGCAACCCCUAUUCUUAGUUGCCAGCGGUUCGGCCGGGGACUCUAAGAAGACUGCCAGCGCAAGCUGAGAGGAAGGUGGGGAUGACGUCAAAUCAUCACGGCCCUUACGUCCUGGGCUACACACGUGCUACAAUGGUAGAGACAGAGGGCAGCCACCUGGUGACAGGGAGCGAAUCCUUAAACUCUAUCUCAGUUCGGAUCGAAGUCUGCAACUCGACUUCGUGAAGCUGGAAUCGCUAGUAAUCGCGCAUCAGCCAUGGCGCGGUGAAUACGUUCCCGGGCCUUGUACACACCGCCCGUCAAGCCAUGGAAGCUGGGGGCACCUGAAGUCGGUAACCGCAAGGAGCCGCCUAGGGUGAAACUGGUAACUAGGGCU